rnacentral:rRNA from 1 species
UGGGGAAUCUUGCGCAAUGCGCGAAAGCGUGACGCAGCAACGCCGCCUGGGGGAAGAAGGCCUUCGGGUUGUAAACCCCUUUCAGGAGGGACGAAGCCCGGGCGGUGAAUAGCCGACCCUGGUGACGGUACCUCCAGAAGAAGCCCCGGCUAACUACGUGCCAGCAGCCGCGGUAAUACGUAGGGGGCAAGCGUUGUCCGGAAUCAUUGGGCGUAAAGAGCGUGUAGGCGGUCCGGUAAGUCGGCUGUGAAAGUCCAGGGCUCAACCCUGGGAUGCCGGUCGAUACUGCCGGACUAGAGUCAGGAAGAGGCAAGUGGAAUUCCCGGCGUAGCGGUGAAAUGCGCAGAUAUCGGGAGGAACACCAAUGGCGAAGGCAGCUUGCUGGGACGGUACUGACGCUGAGACGCGAAAGCGUGGGGAGCAAACAGGAUUAGAUACCCUGGUAGUCCACGCCGUAAACGAUGGGCACUAGGUGUGGGAGGUGUCGACUCCUCCCGUGCCGGAGCUAACGC